GCUAUGGGUGCCAUUGGGUGCUAUGGGGUUGUGUAGGGUGCUAUGGGUGCCAUUGGGUGCUAUGGGUGCCAUUGGGUGCUAUGGGUGCCAUUGGGUGCUAUGGGGUGGUGUAGGGUGCUAUGGGUGCCAUUGGGUGCUAUGGGUGCCAAUGGGUGCUAUGGGGUGGGAUGGGGAUGCUGUGGGUGCCAUUGGGUGCUAUGGGUGCCAUUGGGUGCUAUGGGGUGGGAUGGGGAUGCUAUGGGUGCCAUUGGGUGCUAUGGGUGCUAUGGGUUGCUGUGGGGCGCUGUGGGGUGGUGUAGGGUUCUAUGGGCACCAUAGGGCUGUGGAAAAUCCUAAAAGGAGAUUCCUGAAGGAAAACCGAAAGGGGGGGGAACCCAAAAGGGGGGGACCCAAAGAGGGGGGGAACCCAAAGGGGGAAACCCAAAGGGGAGGGGAAACUCAAAGAGGGGGGAACCCAAAGAGGGGGGACCCCAAAGAGGGGAACCCAAAAGGGGGGAGCCCAAAAGGUGGGGAAUCCAAAGGGGGAACCCAAAGGGGAGGAACCUAAAAGGGGGGGGAACCCAAAGGGGAGAACCCAAAGAGGGGAACCCAAAGGGGGGAACUCAAAGAGGGGGGAACCCAAAGUGGGGGGAAUCCAAAGGGGGAAACCCAAAGUGGAGUGAACCCAAAGAGGGGAACACAAAGGGGGUGGGGAACCCAAAGGGGGGGGACCCCAAAGAGGGGAACCCAAAAAGGGGGAGCCAAAAAGGGGGGA
rnacentral:lncRNA from 1 species